rnacentral:misc_RNA from 1 species
CAAGAUUGGAGCCAGGACCUAAGAAACCAAGAUUAGUCGAAGCCCCAAUUGGAACUGAGCGAGGUUCUAAUGGGAGAAGCUUUAUUCCUCAACGGGGAGCUGCGAAUUCGAGGAUUCGAGCUAGUGAUAAAGGGGGAGACUCGGAAAACAGUGAUUCGAUUCGCGGGUCUUUUCAACAGCAGACGCAGCAUCAGGAGCUAGUGAGUCAAUAUAAGACGGCUUUAGCUGAACUAACAUUUAAUUCAAAGCCGAUAAUUACAAACUUGACUAUUAUUGCUGGUGAGAAUUUGCAAGCGGCCAAGGCAAUUGCUGCUACUAUCUGCAACAACAUUAUUGAGGUGAUAUUCCGGUUUUAAAUGCUACUGUGUCAAUGUUGUUGAUUUUGUUUAAUUUAGUGUGUUUUAUUACUUGGUUGUACAGAAGUGAAAUCUGAUAAAGAAGGCAAAGUUAGAUUUAUGAUAUUUUAGAUUAGUGCAGCUGGUGUAAUGAGUGUUGUAGCUGAAAAUAGAAUUAAGAUUUUGUAAAUGAUUUCUUGGUUAGUGAGAAAGUUGGUG